rnacentral:lncRNA from 1 species
AACUUUGUAAUUUUGUUACAUAAGUUAAACAUCAAAUUAAGAAUGAUGCUUUUGAGAAAAUUAUUUUCUGAUAUUUGUAUUAGAUUCUAAAAAAAAUUUCUCUGGAAAGCUCACAUCGACAUUUACCAGAAACGCAAAGACAACAUGGACAAUUUUCACAAAAACAGCCACCACAAUCUUGAUCUCUAAGGCAUCGAUCACCAGAUAGUUUUUGUGGAUUUUCAAACUUCAUACCUGAAAAUCAUAGAAUAAAAAUAACAUAGGGGAAUGGUGAAAAAUAUAUAGAAUUAUAUUUCAGAUUAUAAUGUAACUCUUGAUAUAUAGAUAAAAUAAUAUUUUGUUGACAAUAAAAAAAUUACCUGAAGCAGAUAUUAUGAGGACAACAAAGAAUGCUAACUUGACCAAAGAAGUAUGCAUUUUGUUGGCUCUGUUGAUGCUAUCUUGUGGCCUGCCU